rnacentral:rRNA from 1 species
UACAGAGGGUGCAAGCGUUAAUCGGAAUUACUGGGCGUAAAGCGUGCGCAGGCGGUUUUGUAAGUCUGACGUGAAAUCCCCGGGCUCAACCUGGGAACUGCAUCUGUGACUGCAUCGCUGGAGUGCGGCAGAGGGGGAUGGAAUUCCGCGUGUAGCAGUGAAAUGCGUAGAUAUGCGGAGGAACACCGAUGGCGAAGGCAAUCCCCCUGGGCCUGCACUGACGCUCAUGCACGAAAGCGUGGGGAGCAAACAGG